GUUUCUGAAUCAGUUGCAGUGGCCUGCUUUCCCCGCCCUUCCCAUCAGUCGGGAAGCCUGGACUGUGGGCUGGGGGAAGCCACAGCCUUUCCCACCUGGCACCCAUUGCCCCCUGCCCUUGGUACCUGUUCUAAGCCCUGGAGCCCCUUAAAGCUGCCAGCGAAGCCCUAGAAGACUGUAUCUCGGUACUUGAACAGGGACAUUCCUGAAUUGGUAAAGAAGGGACUAGCUCAGCCUCUCCUGGCAGUGGAUCGGCUAUGCUGUGCCUAACCAGAAUUGAAAAGUCAGGAGACAGAGUUAGAAGAAGGUUGAGACUUUGAGGACCUCCCACCUGGCUCAGGACCCUGUGAUCAGAGCCAGAUUUCACACUGAGCAGCUGCAGACGGAGAAAUCAGAGAAAGCACAAGCCAGCCACAGAUUCCAGGGCCUGCGGGAGACUCUCCUCCCGCUCAGAAGGAAGACACCGAGGCGACCGUCUCAGGCCAGGUCUUGCUGCCAUGGGACCCACGGCUGCCGCCCAUUGGCUGCCCUCCGCACUGCCGGGCAGAUAAGGGGGAGCCCUGCCCGGAGCACCUGCCAGCACCCGGCCACUCCCCCGAGGCCAGCCCUCCUCACUCCGGGCUCCCUCUGCUGACCUGAGGCCAUGUAGGCCCUCCUCGGACCUCUGUGAGCACACACACCUCUGGGGACUCACAUCUGUUCUCUGCGAGACCCAGCGCACCACCAUGCCCCAGGGACUCGCCUGGCUGCGCUAUCUUGGGAUCCUCCUCGGCAUGGCCUUGGGAAAUGAGGGCUUGGAGCCGUGGCCCUUGACCCAGAGCGACGAGUGCGCCGUCACUGGCUUCCUGCGGGACAAGCUGCAGUACCGGAACCGCCUUCAGUACAUGAAACACUACUUCCCCAUCAACUACAGGGUCAGUGUGCCUUAUGAGGGGGUGCUCCGAACAGCCAACGUCACCAGGCUGCAGCGGGCCCGGGUGAGCCAGCAGGAGCUUCGGUAUCUGUGGGUCCUGGUGAGUCUCAGUGCUACUGAGUGGGUGCAGGAGGUGCUGCUCGAGGGCCACCCGUCCUGGAAGUACCUGGAGGAAGUGCACACGCUACUGCUGGACGUCAAGCAGGGCCUGCGGGGUGUGGAGGUCAGCCCCCAGGUGGAAGCAGCGUUGAACCUCCUGAGUGCGCCGGGAAGCCUGAAGCUGGUGCGGCCCAAAGCGCUGCUGGAUAACUGCUUCCGGGUCAUGGAGUUGCUCUACUGCCCUUGCUGUAAAGAAAGCUCUGUGCUAAACUGGCAGGACUGUGAGGCGCCUCAGCCUCAGCCUCGAAGCCCAGCCUCAGCACAGUGUGAGGCCGCCCAGCUGUACCCUCUGCCCCAGCCGCCCUCCACCUCCCUGCCCCGCGUCCUGGGACCCUCGGCUGGCCCCCCUGCUCAGUGAAGGUGCUGAGGGCACAGGGCGAAGGCUUCCUGCCCGGAGGUGCCUAGGGUGACCUGGGGGGCAGCUGGAGGAGCCCCUGCAAGAGAUGGACUGGGCCCGAGAUUUCGGGUGGUGGUGGGGAGCACCUCCGGAGAGGAGGCCCCUGAAGUGUUUUCCUUUGAGGACAGAGCCUGAGAAGCGUGCAGCUCCCCCUCCUGUGGUCUCGCCAGGAGCGGCAGGGGCCGGGGCACCUGAAGGUCGAUGAAGGCAGACUAUGGCUGCUCCUGGCCCUGCCUGGGCUGCCCCUUCCCCGAGAGCAGUGCCGACCUUCUGAGUCAGGCGGUGGGAACUAUACCAGCCCCAAGACCACCCCCAGCAGGGACGAAACUGCGGUGCUCAGACACAUGGGUCCUGGCACAAGAUCUGGCCACUCCAGCCCUGCCCACACGGAGCCCUGCGCUCCUCGGCUGGGGGCGAAGGCGGCGGAGGAAGCCAGUAGACAGCGGUGUUAAUUACAGUACAACUUUAUUAAUACUGGGAUCUUCACAGUGCAUUUGUUACUUGUAGCAGUGACUAUUUAAAUCAAGGGGAGGGUGGGCUGCGGAGGUGGGUGGGGGGGAAGGAGAGGAUAAUUUAUCCAAAAACAGACAGAAGAGAAACAAAAUGGUUUAGAUGGGAUAGGGGCACCGGGCAGGGCGGGUGGUGGAGGGGAGACACAGUGAGUGGGAACCAGAAGGGGAGGUCUAGGGAGGGGAAAUAAAUUAAAAAAAGGAACAAGUUAACAACAGCACCAGAAAAGUUACUUCAGUCAAAAGACGCUUUGAAUAGAGUAUUUCUCUGUACAAAAAGAAAAAAAUGAAACAAAGGUAAAGAAGUUCCCCAAACCAAAGUUUGUAACAUGGGAUGGUUGGCUCGGAUCCUGAAGGGGCAGGCCUACUUGGCGGUCACUAGAGGGAUGAGGCGGUCAAGGGGGUGGAGGAGCUAUGUACAGCCCUGGGGGCGGCCUGGAGGGGGAGCCCGCAGUCUAGGUGAGGGGUGCCUGUGCCAUGCCCACCCCCCUGGGGUCCCCGAGGCCACACCCCUCCUCCGGGCAAGCUCUCACGGGACCCAGGGUCCCCCCCCUCCCCGCCACUGCCCCUUACCCUGCUCACAUCAGAUAACCUGCGUCUUCAAUCAGCCCACCUGGACAAACCCUUGGGGUACACUCUGCCCCAAGCCUCCAAGUGCAGGCCGUCUGCUCCCCCGGCCCUCCUCCAGGUGUGGUGCGCUCAGCUCAGCGAGGCUCCUUUCUCCCACCUAGCGACUUACAGGUACCGUCCUCCACCCACCUCUGGGGAGCCCCUCAGAGGCAUCCCUGGUUCCCCACACCCGCCUGGGGGCCAUGCCUAGACCCGUUUCUGGAACAAGAACUACCAGGAGCCCCGGGUCCAUCCAGACCAGGAAGAGCCAGCUCUUCUGACCCCAGGAGCCCCUGCCCCGUGACCCUGCCAGCAUGGCCGCUCUCGGCAGGCCUGCGGGUCAUAGGAAGCCCUCCGCUUGCCCUUGGCACACGUGCUUUUACCUGCUUAGAGUUGGCGCAACAUACUGUGCGGGUGGAGGGGUGCACUCCCCCACCUCAGUCCUGCCACCCGGGACCACCCUGGAAUGGCAUCCCCUCUGACAACAGAGUCAGAGCCAAUCUCCCCCAGCAGCCCUCCCCCUUUGGCCUGCAGCAAACGGGCGGGAGGCCCAGCCCCUGGCCCCUUCCCAGCGCAUUGUGGCUUUGCUCUGGACACUGCAGGGAACACUGCCCCUGCCCCUGGCCCCGGGAGCCGAGCCGGCUCUCGUUGUCCUCCCACGGCCGUCAGGCCACCGCAGGGCCCUCUGUCCCUCAGGCACUCUUGGACACACCCUGUACCGGCUACCCUGUCCCCACACGCAGUCCUUGUUCGGUCAGCUCACUUUAUUACAUAUUCAUAGAAGAACCCACCCCCCACCCUCUCCAGUUUCAGUCCCUGACCCAAAGGUGGCUGAAACUGUCACCAGAGUCAGAGUCCCCACGUGCCCAGAUGACGAUGGGAUUCUGAGCAGCUCCUGGGAGCCCGGGAAGCCGACAGCCUGGCCUCCACCACCUUCCCUGCUGCCCUGCCCCGCCCCAGCCACACGUGCAGGCAGGGAAGCUGUCUCAGGGCCCCCACCCUCCUCUGGGUAGGCACCCUGCACGUCCUCCCCAAGAGACUCGACUUGGGCCCCAGGCCCCCGUCCCCAGUGGGUGGGCUGGCUCCUAACUUCACUGGCCCCCCCAAAUGGCCAGCUGCUCUGUGGAGCCUUCGGGUUAAACCAGACACUAGCCCUGGCCCCUCCAUGGACCCCGCCUCCCUGAUGGAGGAGAGCCUGGGAGACGCAGAGACGGGUGACGGCGGGUGAUGGAGAGGGAUGUGGGGGGCCCUGGCCAGGGGCGUGGGACCACUGUCCCUGGGGAGACGGGGAGGCGCUGGGCCUAGCUGCCUGAGCAGUGCACUGCGGGCCCCGCCAGGCAGGUGGGCCCCUCCGCUGGGGGCACGAGCACAGCUCUGUGGCUCGCCCGAGUGGGGAAAGGGCAGAGCCGGGCAGGAGGGAGAGGAAGGGUAGAGUAGGCAAGAAAAGGUUGAAACAGGCUUCAAAUCCAGUUCAAAGCCCGCAGGCUCCUUCCUGGCACGGUCUAAGAAGUCACUUCCUGUUUAAACCAUGAAAUCCAAGCUGGGUUUCUCCUCAAGCUGGGUUUCUCCUCCCAAUAAAGUGGCUUUGACUCGUGUGACUUAAAAAAAAAAAAGCUCGCCUGGCUCUGCUCACUCCUGACUGUGCCUUUGCUGUGAGCCGCCGCUGCCCAUCGGCCAGGUCCCCUGCCUCGCCUGGCCGGGGGCCGGGAGGGAGGGAGGCGCCAU